GUUCUCUUGAGGUCCCGUCUUUCUUUCGUGUUGAAUGAGGAAGAAGGUUUGUAGCGCCCGCAGCCAUCCUCGACAGAUGUGCUUUCUAAUGAUCGCAUUGUUGAGCACAAUGUGCAGAGGAAUCGGUUUGCAUAGCAAAGUCAAAUGCUGCACCAAGGAAUGAUGAAGUCUCUUUUGGCCGUUGCUCAAAAGAAAGCCACUUGCAAAUCUGACAGGAAGUGAGCUGACAGCCGGAGUGCUGGAGGCAAAUAUCUUAUGCAAAAUAUCUGGCUGUGCUGACCGCCUUGAGGUCAGGGGUGGAAGGACCAAAUCUCUUAAGUCACACUGAUAAGUACAAUCGGACUGGGAAGUACCACUUCAGUGCCUGCCGAAUGCUUUGAAGAAGAGGGGAGAUUGCUAAGUGUCAAAGGCAAACUCAAAAUCGGAGAAACCCGGAAGCCUAGCAUGUGUUCUUUGCCUGUAGGCAUGCAGAUGGCUGCGUGCACUUGCAAAUGCAGAGUGAGCACUCGGUGACCAAGACUUUGAAGAAUUUCCUGGGACUCGCUUGGGUUUGGCUCAUCUGCUUUUCUGGAGACGGGUGUGGAUGUGCAGAAACCCGGGGCUUUCAUACAAAAUACUAUCUAGCCUUUUUUGGGGAACCUGAAUAAAGCUUGAAUGCGAAUGAUUGCUGCAAAUGCAUCGAAGCCUGUUUGAGGCCUUACGUCACUGCAGAAGGUCUGCUGGCCAUGAGGGCCUGACGAGGAAGCAGCAAUUACAAAAUGCCUUCCCAGGCUGGGCAGUGAGAAGCAGUGACCCAGCUGUCUGCUCCUCCCGAAGCCUCUGAUGUAUGGCCUGGGUGGUGACACCAUGAGAGAAGGAAACCAAGCAGUAUGAUGGUAUCGUGGGGUGAGAGCAUGACCAGCAGGUUGAGGGAGGUGAUCCUCCCACUGUUCUGCCCUGGUGAGUCCAUGUCUGUCUGGAGCCCUAUGUCCAGUUCUGGGCUUCCCAGUUCAAGAAAGAGAGGAAACUACUGAGGAAUGCCCAGCAGAGGAGCACGAA
ensembl:lncRNA